rnacentral:rRNA from 1 species
UACGUAGGGUGCAAGCGUUUGUCCGGAAUUAUUGGGCGUAAAGGGCGCGUAGGCGGCAUCCUAAGUCAGAUGUGAAAACCCGGGGCUUAACUCCGGGAUGGCAUUUGAAACUGGGAAGCUAGAGUGCAGGAGAGGUAAGUGGAAUUCCUAGUGUAGCGGUGAAAUGCGUAGAUAUUAGGAGGAACACCAGUGGCGAAGGCGACUUACUGGACUGUAACUGACGCUGAGGCG